rnacentral:rRNA from 1 species
UACGUAGGGACCGAGCGUUGUCCGGAAUUAUUGGGCGUAAAGCGCGUGUAGGCGGCUUUGCAAGUCGGGUGUGAAAGCCCUCAGCUCAACUGAGGAAGUGCGCCCGAAACUGCAGAGCUUGAGUGCCGGAGAGGGUGGCGGAAUUCCCCAAGUAGAGGUGAAAUUCGUAGAUAUGGGGAGGAACACCGGUGGCGAAGGCGGCCACCUGGACGGUAACUGACGCUGAGACGCGAAAGCGUGGGGAGCAAACAGG